UACGUAGGGUGCAAGCGUUGUCCGGAAUUAUUGGGCGUAAAGAGCUCGUAGGCGGUCUGUUGCGUCGGCUGUGAAAACCCGAGGCUCAACCUCGGGCCUGCAGCCGAUACGGGCAGACUAGAGUUCGGCAGGGGAGACUGGAAUUCCUGGUGUAGCGGUGAAAUGCGCAGAUAUCGGGAGGAACACCAGUGGCGAAGGCGGCACUCUGGGCCGGUACUGACGCUGAGGAGCGAAAGCGUGGGGAGCGAACAGG
rnacentral:rRNA from 1 species